UACACGACCGUACCGCAAACCGACACUGGUGCGCGAGAUGAGUAUUCUAAGGCGCUUGAGAGAACUCAGGAGAAGGAACUCGGCAAAUUGACACCGUAACUUCGGAAGAAGGUGUGCCUUUAGUAGGUGAACCAUUUACUUGGGGAGCCCAAUGAGGCUGCAAAAAAUCGGUGGCUGCAACUGUUUAUUAAAAACACAGCACUCUGCUAAGACGAAAGUCGACGUAUAGGGUGUGACGCCUGCCCGGUGCUGGAAGAUUAAAUGAAGGGGUGCAAGCUCUUGAUUGAAGUCCCAGUAAACGGCGGCCGUAACAAUAACGGUCCUAAGGUAGCGAAAUUCCUUGUCGGGUAAGUCCCGACCUGCACGAAUGGCGUAAUGAUGGCCACACUGUCUCCUCCUGAGACUCAGCGAAGUUGAAAUGUUUGUGAUGAUGCAAUCUCCCCGCGGAAAGACGGAAAGACCCCAUGAACCUUUACUGUAGCUUUGUAUUGGACUUUGAACAGAUCUGUGUAGGAUAGGUGGGAGGCUUUGAAGUGUGGUCGCUAGAUCGCAUGGAGCCAACGUUGAAAUACCACCCCGGUGUGUUUGAGGUUCUAACCUAGGUCCAUUAUCUGGAUCGGGGACAGUGCAUGGUAGGCAGUUUGACUGGGGCGGUCUCCUCCCAAAGUGUAACGGAGGAGUUCGAAGGUACGCUAGGUACGGUCGGACAUCGUGCUAAUAGUGCAAUGGCAUAAGCGUGCUUAACUGCGAGACUGACAAGUCGAGCAGAUGCGAAAGCAGGACAUAGUGAUCCGGUGGUUCUGUAUGGAAGGGCCAUCGCUCAACGGAUAAAAGGUACUCUGGGGAUAACAGGCUGAUACCGCCCAAGAGUUCAUAUCGACGGCGGUGUUUGGCACCUCGAUGUCGGCUCAUCUCAUCCUGGGGCUGUAGCCGGUCCCAAGGGUAUGGCUGUUCGCCAUUUAAAGAGGUACGUGAGCUGGGUUUAAAACGUCGUGAGACAGUUUGGUCCCUAUCUUCCGUGGGCGCUGCAGAUUUGAGGAAGCCUGCUCCUAGUACGAGAGGACCGGAGUGGACGAACCUCUGGUGUAUCGGUUGUCACGCCAGUGGCAUUGCCGAGUAGCUAAGUUCGGAAGAGAUAACCGCUGAAAGCAUCUAAGCGGGAAACUCGUUUCAAGAUUAGAUCUGCCGGGGCCUUGAGCCCCCUAAAGAGUCGUUCAAGACCAGGACGUUGAUAGGUCAGGUGUGGAAGC
rnacentral:rRNA from 1 species